rnacentral:misc_RNA from 1 species
GAAGCUUUCUUUUCACACGAGAGUUGCAACCAUGAUGGGAACAAUGCAAAAAGAGACUGUUCCGUCUGUACAAGUUUUUGGACGGAAAGUAAAAAACAGCCACAGCUGUGGCAUAUUGUAAACGUGGAACUGGGCUUAUCAAAGUGAAUGGACGACCAUUGGAGACUUUGGAACCUCAGAUUCUUAGGUACAAGCUUCAAGAACCAGUUUUGCUACUUGGGAAGGAAAGGUUUUCUGGGGUAGACAUAAGAGUUCGUGUCAAGGGAGGAGGUCAUAUAGCUCAGAUCUAUGCAAUAAGACAAGCCAUCUCUAAAGCCCUUGUUGCGUAUUAUCAGAAAUAUGUUGAUGAAGCUUCAAAGAAAGAGAUUAAAGACAUUCUGAUCCAGUAUGACAGAACUUUAUUAGUGGCUGAUCCACGUCGUUGUGAGCCAAAGAAGUUCGGUGGACCAGGAGCCAGGGCUCGUUACCAGAAAUCUUACCGAUAAAAUCAAAUGUUUAUUAUCUUAAGGUAUAUUUGUAACUUCAGUCGAGCCUUAAUAAACAUUUGCUAACA